rfam:Dipodomys ordii contig_69113, whole genome shotgun sequence.
GGUGGCUUAGUGGUAGAGUACUUGCCUUGCAUGCAUGAGACCCUGGGUUCGAUUCCUCAGCACCA